UACGUAGGGGGCUAGCGUUGUCCGGAUUUAUUGGGCGUAAAGAGCGUGUAGGCGGCCAGGUAGGUCUGCUGUGAAAACUCGAGGCUUAACCUCGAGAUGUCGGCGGAAACCAUCUGGCUAGAGUCCGGAAGAGGAGAGUGGAAUUCCUGGUGUAGCGGUGAAAUGCGCGGAUAUCAGGAAGAACACCCGUGGCGAAGGCGGCUCUCUGGGACGGUACUGACGCUGAGACGCGAAAGCGUGGGGAGCGAACAGG
rnacentral:rRNA from 1 species